UACGGGGGGGGCAAGCGUUGUUCGGAAUUACUGGGCGUAAAGGGCUCGUAGGCGGCCAACUAAGUCGGAUGUGAAAUCCCCGGGCUCAACCCGGGAACUGCGUCCGAUACUGGUGGGCUUGAAUCCGGGAGAGGGAUGCGGAAUUCCAGGUGUAGCGGUGAAAUGCGUAGAUAUCUGGAGGAACACCGGUGGCGAAGGCGGCAUCCUGGACCGGUAUUGACGCUGAGGCGCGAAAGCCAGGGGAGCAAACGGG
rnacentral:rRNA from 1 species